GAUGCUAUGUCAUAUGUUAGGCAUUAUGGCCGCCCAGACUUAUUUGUUACAUUCACAUGUAACCCAAAAUGGUCCGAAAUCAAGAAGGAAUUACUACAUAGCCAAACACCAGUUGAUAGACAUGACAUAACCGCCAGAGUUUUUAAACAAAAAUUAAAAUCUCUCAUGAAUUUUUUAAUAAAGCAUUGUGUGUAUGGCCGAGUCCGUUGUUGGAUGUACUCUGUAGAAUGGCAAAAGCGUGGAUUGCCACAUGCGCACAUUUUAGUCUGAUGAAAUAGUUGACCCAAAAUUGCAUGCAGUAGUUA